GUGCAGCAGGCGAGAAACCUUCGCAAUGCAGGAAACUGCGACGAGGGAACUCCAAGUGCCUACGCUCAGCGUAGGCUGUUCUCAAGCCUAGAAAGCUUGAGGAGUAAGGGCUGGGUAAGACGGGUGCCAUCUGUGGUAGCAGUCAAUAGAUUCGAUUUGUUACUGCAAGGCAUAAGCCGCCGCGGUAAUACCCCGCAGCCCAAGUGGUGGCCGCUUUUAUUGGGCCUAAAGCGUCCGUAGCCGGCCCGGUAAAUGCCUGGGUAAAAUCGUGGAGCCCAACUUCACGAAUUCCGGGUAGACUGCCGAGCUCGGGACCGGAAGAGGGAGAGGGUACUUCGAGGGGUAGGGGU
rnacentral:rRNA from 1 species